CUGGAGGUAUCAGAAGUGCGAAUGCUGACAUAAGUAACGAUAAAGCGGGUGAAAAGCCCGCUCGCCGGAAGACCAAGGGUUCCUGUCCAACGUUAAUCGGGGCAGGGUGAGUCGACCCCUAAGGCGAGGCCGAAAGGCGUAGUCGAUGGGAAACAGGUUAAUAUUCCUGUACUUGGUGUUACUGCGAAGGGGGGACGGAGAAGGCUAUGUUGGCCGGGCGACGGUUGUCCCGGUUUAAGCGUGUAGGCUGGUUUUCCAGGCAAAUCCGGAAAAUCAAGGCUGAGGCGUGAUGACGAGGCACUACGGUGCUGAAGCAACAAAUGCCCUGCUUCCAGGAAAAGCCUCUAAGCAUCAGGUAACAUCAAAUCGUACCCCAAACCGACACAGGUGGUCAGGUAGAGAAUACCAAGGCGCUUGAGAGAACUCGGGUGAAGGAACUAGGCAAAAUGGUGCCGUAACUUCGGGAGAAGGCACGCUGAUAUGUAGGUGAAGCGACUUGCUCGUGGAGCUGAAAUCAGUCGAAGAUACCAGCUGGCUGCAACUGUUUAUUAAAAACACAGCACUGUGCAAACACGAAAGUGGACGUAUACGGUGUGACGCCUGCCCGGUGCCGGAAGGUUAAUUGAUGGGGU
rnacentral:rRNA from 1 species